rnacentral:rRNA from 1 species
UAACAAGGAUUCCCCUAGUAACUGCGAGUGAAGCGGGAUGAGCUCAAAUUUAAAAUCUGGCGGCUUUGCCGUCCGAGUUGUAAUCUGGAGAAGCGUUUUCCGCGUCGGACCGUGUACAAGUCUCUUGGAACAGAGCUUCAUAGAGGGUGAGAAUCCCGUCCAUGACACGGACCGCCGAUGCUUUGUGAUACGCUCUCAAAGAGUCGAGUUGUUUGGGAAUGCAGCUCAAAAUGGGUGGUAAAUUCCAUCUAAAGCUAAAUAUUGGCGAGAGACCGAUAGCGAACAAGUACCGUGAGGGAAAGAUGAAAAGCACUUUGGAAAGAGAGUAAAACAGUACGUGAAAUUGUUGAAAGGGAAACGCUUGAAGUCAGUCGCGUUUGCCGGGACUCAGCCUUGCUUCUGCUCGGUGUAUUUCCCGGUAGACGGGUCAACAUCGAUUUUGGCCGACGGAUAAAGGGGUUGGGAAUGUGGCACUCUUCGGGGUGUGUUAUAGCCCUUCUUCCGCAUACGCCGGCCGGGAUCGAGGACCGCAGCGCGCCUUAAUGGCCGGGGGUUCGCCCCACGUUACGCGCUUAGGAUGUUGGCAUAAUGGCUUUAAGCGAC